CAUAUAAAACAGGUCAUCCAUCCCCCUCACAGUUCGGUAUAAAUCAUAGUUGUUAGGUCAUGGUACAGUUCAAAUCAUGGUACAUUGCUGACGUGUCUC